rnacentral:rRNA from 1 species
GGCGCAAGCCGAUGCAGCAUGCCGCGUGUAUGAAGAAGCCUUCGGGUGUAAGUACUUUAGCGGGGAGGAGGUGUGUGGUAAUAACCGCAGCAAUUGACGUUACCGCAAGAAGCACCGGCUAACUCCGUGCCAGCAGCCCGCGGUAAUACGGAAGGGUGCAAAGCGUUUAAUUCGGAAUUACUGGGGCGUAAAAGCGCACGCAGGCGGUCUGUUUAAGUCAGAUGUGAAAUCCCCGGGCUCAACCUGGGGAACUGCAUCCUGAUACUGGCAGGCUUGAGUCUCGUAGAGGGGGGUAGAAUUCCAGGUGUAGCGGUGAAAUGCGUAGAAGAUCUGGAGGAAUACCGGUGGCGAAGGCGGCCCCCUGGACGAAGACUGACGCUCAGGUGCGAAAGCGUGGGGAGCAAACAGGAUUAGAUACCCUGGUAGUCCACGCCGUAAACGAUGUCGACUUGGAGGUUGUGCCCUUGAGGCGUGGCUUCCGGAGCUAACGCGUUAAGUCGACCGCCUGGGGAGUACGGCCGCAAGGUUAAAACUCAAAUGAAUUGACGGGGGCCCGCACAAGCGGUGGAGCAUGUGGUUUAAUUCGAUGCAACGCGAAGAACCUUACCUGGUCUUGACAUCCACAGAACUUGGCAGAGAUGCCUUGGUGCCUUCGGGAACUGUGAGACAGGUGCUGCAUGGCUGUCGUCAGCUCGUGUUGUGAAAUGUUGGGUUAAGUCCCGCAACGAGCGCAACCCUUAUCCUUUGUUGCCAGCGGUUAGGCCGGGAACUCAAAGGAGACUGCCAGUGAUAAACUGGAGGAAGGUGGGGAUGACGUCAAGUCAUCAUGGCCCUUACGACCAGGGCUACACACGUGCUACAAUGGCAUAUACAAAGAGAAGCGACCUCGCGAGAGCAAGCGGACCUCAUAAAGUAUGUCGUAGUCCGGAUUGGAGUCUGCAACUCGACUCCAUGAAGUCGGAAUCGCUAGUAAUCGUGGAUCAGAAUGCCACGGUGAAUACGUUCCCGGGCCUUGUACACACCGCCCGUCACACCAUGGGAGUGGGUUGCAAAAGAAGUAGGUAGC